ensembl:lncRNA
GUACAUGUAGGGGAGUAUUAUGGGAUAGAUAUCUAAUAGCAUUGCAGCAUAGAGGCAGUAUUGUGAGUAGAUUUAGUGUCUGUGUAGUAUUAUGGGCUAGAUGUUCAGUAUUAUGGGAUAGAUGUUCAGUAUUUAGGGCUAGAUGUUCAGUAUUAUGGGAUAGAUGUUCAGUAUUAUGGGAUAGAUGUUCAGUAUUAUGGGAUAGAUGUUCAGUUUUAUGGGAUAGAUGUUCCGUUUUAUGGGAUGUGUGAUAGUAUUGUUAUGUCUGCAGUCACGCUGCAGGUUAAUCUCAGGUCCAUGUAGGGACGAGAAUGUGAUUCCAUCCCAUAAUAAAACCCUGAAGCUUUGUGGGGAUAAACACAGAAGAAGAGUUUCCACCCAGAACAGAAGACCUUCACACACCAUACUCCCAUUGGCUGAGCACACUAGAGACUAGAGGGUAGUGGGGUAGGAGGGUAGGAGGUAGGAGGAAGGAGGGUAGGAGGUAGGAGGUAGGAGGGUAGGGGACAGGAGGUGUGACCACGAGCGUCCCCUGGCGGACAGAGGGGGAACCCGUCUCACAUCUGGAAAAAUAACCCGCCCACCAACAGCAACACCGCCGCGCGCACGGUAGUUCACAGGGGACCAGUGCGCGGGCGUGCACGCACGCGUUGGCGUAUGUGAGUGCGUGUGCAUGCCUGUUUCCUGUCUAUUUCCCAUCAUCAUCCUCAGUGAUGGGAAAUAGACAGGAAACAGGCACACGCACUCAAUAUGUCACUGUCUUCGGGUUAAAUUAACUAAGCUGUUGCGCGGGAUCGGUUUCCUACGUCAUCACAUGUUAUCUCGGCGGUCUGAACCGUCUAGCGUGAGUGAAGCUCAUGCGUCUCCCUGUUGGGCUCGUACCUGUGUCUGCUCGCCACCCGGCCCGGGCUGACGAUCCCCUGUCCCUUCUGGAGUGCCUGGAAGCCGUUGGUCUGGUGGGUCUGGUGGAACGAGGGGUCGUAUCCGAGACCCUAGCCACACACACGCACAGCGCCAGGACCAGCAGCGCCGGGUUCUCCAUGCCGAGCGGGACCCUGGGCACUAGGGGGUCCCUGGGGGGUUCACGGUGGUCCGGGGUUCACGGGGGUCCGGGGCACCAAGGGGGUCCGGACGCUCGAGAAAGUUGUGUGAACUUUUGUUUUCUCGCGGAUAAAAGACGCAGAACUACCGCUGGGACAGGACCCUCGUUCUCAUGGGUUUAAUCUUCAGUCCGCGGCUCGGGAGAAUCAUGAUAAAGUCCGUAAGUCCAACGCGAGGAGGAGGUCCGGGAGGAGGCUCGAACCUGGGAUCCACUGGCUGCUUCGUCCCGGGUCAGGAUGGUGCGAGCUGCGACGACAGAGCGGUGCGCGCGUGUGACUCGUAGUGCCGGUGCACCCCACACCCACCUCACCUCACCCCCUUCCCCUCCCGGCUCCCGGACCCUCCUCUCCCGGCUCCCGGACCCUCCCCAGCUCCGGCUCCCGUCACGGAAGUCCCUGUGGCUCCACCGGAAGGGGAGGAGCUUAUCAGGAGGAAGAGGACGACGCCCAGAGAGACGCCCCUGCCCCCACUGGUCAGUCACUGGGAUCAGUAUUAAUGAUCAUUAUUAGUUUAGUUAUAGUAUAGUCAUUAUUAGUAGUAGUCCAGUUAUACCCAGGUUUGCACAACACUCUUUUGUUCUGGUUCUCAUU